UUAGGGGUUUCUGGUUUUUCAAGAAAUGAAUUUAAUUCAUGCGUCUUAUUUAGAGUUUUAUUAUUUGUUUAUUUAUUUUUAUUUGGCGUUAAGAUUGGGGGGGAUUAGCUUCUUAUUUUAUUUUUAUAAUUUUUUGUUUAUUUAGUCUUGUGGGUUUUAUAGUGAUUUUCAAUUUGAUUAUGUUAAAAUUUUAUUUGUUUUGUUCUUUAUUUUUAUUUAUUUAAUUAUUUAUUGAAAUGUAUUCUUUAUUUUGUUUUGGUUAGUAAUUAUUGUAGAAUUAGUAAAUUUGUUGUUAGGUUGUUUUAUUUGUGUUAAUUUUCUUUGAGGAACUAGGCAAAUUUCAUGUCCGCCUGUUUAACAAAAACAUCUUUUCUCGUUAGUUUUUGAAGUAUGGCCUGCCCACUGACUUUGGUGUUGAAGGGCCGCGGUAUUUUGACCGUGCAAAGGUAGCAUAGUCAUUAGUUCUUUAAUUGUGAUCUGGUAUGAAUGGCUUGACGAGGCAUGGGCUGUCUUAAUUUUGAAUUGUUUAUUGAAUUUGGUCUUUGAGUUAAAAUUCUUAGAUGUUUUUAUGGGACGAGAAGACCCUAUAGAGUUUAACAUUUGUUAUGGUCCCUUUCUGUUUGUGAGGGUUCACUGGGCCGUCUAAUAUGUUUUGUUGGGGUGAUGGGAGGGAUAUAAUUUAA
rnacentral:rRNA from 1 species